rnacentral:rRNA from 1 species
UACGGAGGGGGUUAGCGUUGUUCGGAAUGACUGGGCGUAAAGCGCGCGUAGGCGGAUCAGGAAGUUGGGGGUGAAAUCCUGGGGCUCAACCCCGGAAUGGCCUUCAAAACUCCUGGUCUUGAGUUCGAGAGAGGUGAGUGGAAUUCCGAGUGUAGAGGUGAAAUUCGUAGAUAUUCGGAGGAACACCAGUGGCGAAGGCGGCUCACUGGCUCGACACUGACGCUGAGGUGCGAAAGCGUGGGGAGCAAACAGG